GCAGUAGCCGCGGUAAUACAGAGGGUGCGAGCGUUAAUCGGAUUUACUGGGCGUAAAGCGUGCGUAGGCGGCUUCUUAAGUCGGAUGUGAAAUCCCUGAGCUUAACUUAGGAAUUGCAUUCGAUACUGGGAAGCUAGAGUAUGGGAGAGGAUGGUAGAAUUCCAGGUGUAGCGGUGAAAUGCGUAGAGAUCUGGAGGAAUACCGAUGGCGAAGGCAGCCAUCUGGCCUAAUACUGACGCUGAGGUACGAAAGCGUGGGGAGCAAACAGGAUUAGAUACCCCAGUAGUCCCUGUCUCUUAUAC
rnacentral:rRNA from 1 species